rnacentral:rRNA from 1 species
UACAGGGGGGGCAAGCGUUGUUCGGAAUUACUGGGCGUGAAGGGCUCGUAGGUGGCCAACUAAGUCAGACGUGAAAUCCCUCAGCUUAACUGGGGAACUGCGUCUGAUACUGGAUGGCUUGAGUUUGGGAGAGGGAUGCGGAAUUCCAGGUGUAGCGGUGAAAUGCGUAGAUAUCUGGAGGAACACCGGUGGCGAAGGCGGCAUCCUGGACCAACACUGACACUGAGGAGCGAAAGCCAGGGGAGCAAACGGG